rnacentral:rRNA from 1 species
GAUGAACGCUGGCGGUAUGCCUAACACAUGCAAGUCGAACGGAGUUCUUCGGAACUUAGUGGCGGACGGGUGAGUAACACGUGAGAACCUACCUUCAGAAUGGGGACAACAGUUGGAAACGACUGCUAAUACCCAAUGUGCCGAAAGGUGAAAGAUUUAUCGUCUGAAGAUGGGCUCGCGUCUGAUUAGCUAGAUGGUGGGGUAAGAGCCUACCAUGGCAACGAUCAGUAGCUGGUCUGAGAGGAUGAGCAGCCACACUGGGACUGAGACACGGCCCAGACUCCUACGGGAGGCAGCAGUGGGGAAUUUUCCGCAAUGGGCGAAAGCCUGACGGAGCAAUACCGCGUGAGGGAGGAAGGUCCUUGGAUUGUAAACCUCUUUUAUCAGGGAAGAAGUUCUGACGGUACCUGAUGAAUAAGCAUCGGCUAACUCCGUGCCAGCAGCCGCGGUAAUACGGAGGAUGCAAGCGUUAUCCGGAAUUAUUGGGCGUAAAGCGUCCGUAGGUGGUUAUGCAAGUCUGCCGUUAAAGAAUGGAGCUUAACUCCAUAGGAGCGGUGGAAACUGCAAGACUAGAGUACAGUAGGGGUAGCAGGAAUUCCCAGUGUAGCGGUGAAAUGCGUAGAUAUUGGGAAGAACAUCGGUGGCGAAAGCGUGCUACUGGGCUGAAACUGACACUGAGGGACGAAAGCUAGGGUAGCGAAAGGGAUUAGAUACCCCUGUAGUCCUAGCCGUAGACGAUGGAUACUAGGCGUGGCUUGUAUCGACUCGAGCCGUGCCGAAGCUAACGCGUUAAGUAUCCCGCCUGGGGAGUACGC